rnacentral:lncRNA from 1 species
UUUCCCCAAUUACAUACACUGAUACGUACAGAGAUCCAAAAUCCUAAAUCCCCAACUCAAACGCGAUUGUUCAUCGUCUCCUUCACGUUAGAGCCGCGUUCAACUCCAAAUCUCAGGCGAGUAAGCUCCAAUUCAACCCACGUGUUCCCUCUCUCUCCUCAUCACCAUAUUGGUAACGGUAUCUGACAGAUUCUCUCGUCCCCGUCCCCUUCUCACCCGAUGGAAGCCUCUAGAAGGCAUAUGCUGGAGAAUAGGAAGCGUGGGAUCGAUUUGGAUUGAUCCCAUCCCCUCAUUCAUCAGGUGUUGGCCUGAUAACUAGAGGAUUUUAUUGGAUAGAAGGAGGAGGAAUUUGUGGAGAUUUUUCGGAGGGAUUUCGGAUUUUAGAGAGAUUUUUGGGAGUAAAAAUUUGAAGAAAAGGCUUAAGGUUUUUUCAGAGCUGCUCGUUUCCUCUUCUCUAAAAAAUUUCUUCCAAAAGUUACUCAUAAAGGUUAAGAAUAAGAUACCUAUAUUUUUUUAAGUUUUGAGUCUGGCUUUUGAAUUCGAAAGAAAUAACAAUGAAUUGAGGUCAUUUGAUUGGUGGUGAGAUUCAAGUUCGUCGACUUUGAUUUUCUACUAAUGUUGUACUAUUUUUCUGCUGAACCUCGCUAGGAUUUUUGGAAUUCAAAAGUGUAUUUGUUGUUUAUCCUGUAAUUAUUAUAAAGGGAAUUUGUAAUUUCGGGUUCGAUUUCCUCUUUUAUCUGACCUUAUUCUUUAAGUGUUCCUGAGCUGUGAAAUUCUGUCCAAAAUGGUGUUUUGUUCUGUAAUUAGAUUUCUUGUUGGUGAAUCUCUUCUCAAUGGUGUGAUGUAUUUGAGUAUGUUUAGUCAGUAAAUGAUGAUUUUGACUGGUCAUCUUCUAUGCACGUAUGCUUUAACUGUUAUUAGGGCGUCUAGUUUUCAUUUUAGUCAAGAUUUCAUCAAUUUCAAAUAAACGAUUGCGUUAAGCUUUAAGAUUGUAUGGAUUCUUGAAGGUAUCACAUACUAUUAGUUUAAGUCGACUGGUUCUCCUAAUAUUUGCAAAGUUAUCCUACUAUAACUGGUUAGUCUGUUAGCGUAAAGCUGCUCUUGUUUGUUGAAACUGGGAGUUUGAAUCAUGGUUUUGCUUGAUUCUGAACAUGACAUUGUGAGUAUGAAGCAAUCCAUUUAAGGUGUUAUUAGUUUCUGUUCGAUAGGCUCUCAUGAGAAGGAUAUUGGAGUCCUCUUUUCAUUAGUUUAUUAGCAUGAGUAUGCUAAAGCUUGUCUUGUGUGCUUAAAGUAAUUUAGUGUUUGAAGUUGUCCUCAUCAUUUUCCUAUUAAUGACAUGUUAAAGUUCUAGUGUUUGAGGUUCUGUUGCUAAGAUCGUUGAAUCAGACCCUUAUCCAUUUAAGCUUGGAAACAAAUUUCUUGUUAAUUGUUUGG